GACAGAGGAUGCAAGCGUUAUCCGGAAUCACUGGGCGUAAAGCGUCUGUAGGUGGUUCAAUAAGUCAACUGUUAAAUCUUGAGGCUCAACUUCAAAAUCGCAGUCGAAACUAUUGGACUCGAGUAUAGUAGGGGUAAAGGGAAUUUCCAGUGGAGCGGUGAAAUGCGUAGAGAUUGGAAAGAACACCAAUGGCGAAAGCACUUUACUGGGCUAUUACUGACACUGAGAGACGAAAGCUAGGGUAGCAAAUGGG
rnacentral:rRNA from 1 species